rnacentral:rRNA from 1 species
AUUGAACGCUGGCGGCAUGCCUAACACAUGCAAGUCGAGCGGAUGAAGGAAGCUUGCUCCUGGAUUCCGCGGCGGACGGGCGAGUAAUGCCUAGGAAUCUGCCUGGUCGUGGGGGCUAACGUCCGGAAACGGGACCUAAUCUCGCAUACGUCAUGAGAGAGAAACUGGGGGUUCUUCGGACAUCAAGCUAUCAGCUGAGCCUAGGUCGGAUUAGCUAGUUGGUGGGGUAAAGGCGUACCAAGGCGACGAUCCGUAACUGGUCUGAGAGGAUGAUCAGUCACACUGGAACUGAGACACGGUCCAGACUCCUACGGGAGGCAGCAGUGGGGAAUAUUGGACAAUGGGCGAAAGCCUGAUCCAGCCAUGCCGCGUGUGUGAAGAAGGUCUUCGGAUUGUAAAGCACUGUUAGUUGGGAGGAAGGGCAGUAAGUGAAUACCUGGCUGUUUUGACGUUACCAACAGAGAAAGCACCGGCUAACUACGUG